rnacentral:rRNA from 1 species
UGAACGCUAGCUACAGGCUUAACACAUGCAAGUCGAGGGGCAGCAUGGUCUUAGCUUGCUAAGACUGAUGGCGACCGGCGCACGGGUGAGUAACACGUAUCCAACCUGCCGUCUACUCUUGGACAGCCUUCUGAAAGGAAGAUUAAUACAAGAUGGCAUCAUGAGUCCGCAUGUUCACAUGAUUAAAGGUAUUCCGGUAGACGAUGGGGAUGCGUUCCAUUAGAUAGUAGGCGGGGUAACGGCCCACCUAGCCGACGAUGGAUAGGGGUUCUGAGAGGAAGGUCCCCCACAUUGGAACUGAGACACGGUCCAAACUCCUACGGGAGGCAGCAGUAGGGAAUUUUCGGCAAUGGGGGAAACCCUGACCGAGCAACGCCGCGUGAAGGAAGAAGUAAUUCGUUAUGUAAACUUCUGUCAUAGAGGAAGAACGGUGGAUAUAGGGAAUGAUAUCCAAGUGACGGUACUCUAUAAGAAAGCCACGGCUAACUACGUG